UCUUUGUUUAAGGGUUGGAUGGCCGACACUGGCCAGAGUCUCAAGUGGAUGUGAAAACUUCCUGCAGCCACUGGAUCCUUGUGGAACGGUCUGGGAGACUCACUGGUCCGCACCACAGUGGCGGGAACCGCAGCCCGGCCAUCCUAGAAUCUCCCAGGUCAGAGAGCUGUAGUGAAACAGGGUUCCUGGGGAAAUUACUCUGCAUGUGUGUGAGCUGCGUGUGAAUAAGCCUCACAUCUCCCAGAAGAAAGUGAAAGCCUCAGAGAAAAAGACAAAGUUUUCAUGAAAUUUCAUCUGUUCUUCGUGUUUGUUAUUUUGGGAUGUGGCUUGCACUUUUCAGCUACACCUGCUUAUCAUUGAGCAGGACAAAGUGCCCUGGAAGGUGGAGAGAGAGGCAACAGUGGCAAAGGAUCCAGGUAUGUUGGAGGAUUGACAAAGGAGUGGGAAGGAGUCCAAGUGACAGUGAAAAUGGGACAUGAAGUCAGUUUUGCCACAUUCUGUUGUAGAAAUUAUUCUGGAGAAUUCCACUGAGAAUAAUCUCCUCAGGAUUAUCCUUUGUAAACUUUAGAAGAUUCUCUAUGUAAGAAUAAAUACUAGGAACAACUACAAUUUGAUUGGAUUUUGAUUGUUAAUGUUGCUAUCCUGCUUCCAUUCAUAUUGCUAAUCAUGUAUUCAUACCAAUAUUAAAUGACUUUCCUUU